rnacentral:rRNA from 1 species
CCUACGGGAGGCAGCAGUGGGGAAUAUUGCGCAAUGGGCGAAAGCCUGACGCAGCGACGCCGCGUGAGGGAUGAAGGUCUUCGGAUCGUAAACCUCUGUCAGCAGGGAAGAACGGUCACUGUGCUAAUCAGCAGUGAAUUGAAGGUACCUGCAAAGGAAGCACCGGCUAACUCCGUGCCAGCAGCCGCGGUAAUACGGAGGGUGAGAGCGUUAAUCGGAAUUACUGGGCGUAAAGCGCUCGUAGGCGGUAUGUCAAGUCAAGGGUGAAAUCCCCGCGCUCAACGUGGGAACUGCCUUUGAAACUGGCAGACUGGAGUGUGUGAGAGGAUAGUGGAAUUCCAGGUGUAGGAGUGAAAUCCGUAGAUAUCUGGAGGAACAUCAGUGGCGAAGGCGACUAUCUGGCACAUAACUGACGCUGAGGAGCGAAAGCGUGGGUAGCAAACAGGAUUAGAUACCCGGGUAGUC